CCCCACUAUUCUGGCCCUAAAACUUAAACACUUCUGGGACUACGAAAGACCUUUAAACCCAAAGAACUUGGCGGCAUUUCAUACCCAAUCAGGGGAGCCUGUCCUAGAACUGAUACCCCACAACUAACCUCACUUGCCCUCGCUCUCAGCCUGUAUACCGCCGUCGAUAGCCCACCUACAAAAGAAAUAGUAUGCCCCAAGGGUAAAACCCCGCACGUCAGGUCAAGGUGCAGCCAAUGAGCAAGAAGAGAUGGGCUACCAGUAACAUGGNAAACCAAACCUGCCAAGUGAAAAAAGAGCGAAAGAAGGACUUGUAAAGUAACAGGGGCCCAAGUACCCCUGUGAAUCCGGCAAUAAAAUGUGC
rnacentral:rRNA from 1 species